rnacentral:rRNA from 1 species
CUAAAGCCUGACGGGGCAAUACCGCGUGAGGGAGGAAGGCUCUUAGGUUGUAAACCUCUUUUCUCAGGGAAGACUGAUGACGGUACCUGAGGAAUCAGCAUCGGCUAACUCCGUGCCAGCAGCCGCGGUAAUACGGAGGAUGCAAGCGUUAUCCGGAAUGAUUGGGCGUAAAGCGUCCGCAGGUGGCAGUGUAAGUCUGCUGUCAAAGAGUCUGGCUCAACCAGAUAAAGGCAGUGGAAACUACACAGCUAGAGUGCGGUAGGGGCAGAGGGAAUUCCUGGUGUAGCGGUGAAAUGCGUAGAGAUCAGGAAGAACACCGGUGGCGAAAGCGCUCUGCUAGGCCGUAACUGACACUGAGGGACGAAAGCUAGGGGAGCGAAUGGGAUUAGAUACCCCAGUAGUCCUAGCCGUAAACGAUGGAUACUAGGUGUUGCUUGUAUCGACCCGAGCAGUACCGUAGCUAACGCGUUAAGUAUCCCGCCUGGGGAGUACGCAGGCAACUGUGAAACUCAAAGGAAUUGACGGGGGCCCGCACAAGCGGUGGAGUAUGUGGUUUAAUUCGAUGCAACGCGAAGAACCUUACCAGGGCUUGACAUGUCGCGAAUCUCAGGGAAACUUGGGAGUGCCUUCGGGAGCGCGAACACAGGUGGUGCAUGGCUGUCGUCAGCUCGUGUCGUGAGAUGUUGGGUUAAGUCCCGCAACGAGCGCAACCCUCGUUUUUAGUUGCCAUCAUUAAGUUGGGCACUCUAGAGAGACUGCCGGUGACAAACCGGAGGAAGGUGGGGAUGACGUCAAGUCAGCAUGCCCCUUACGUCCUGGGCUACACACGUACUACAAUGCUCCGGACAGAGGGCAGCGAGCAUGCAAAUGCAAGCAAAUCCCGAAAACCGGAGCUCAGUUCAGAUCGCAGGCUGCAACUCGCCUGCGUGAAGUUGGAAUCGCUAGUAAUUGCAGGUCAGCAUACUGCGGUGAAUUCGUUCCCGGGCCUUGUACACACCGCCCGUCACACCAUGGAAGCUGGUAGUGCCCGAAGUCAUUACCCCAACCUGAGGGAGGGGGAUGCCUAAGGCAGGA